UGAUACACUGGUUUACAAGUAAUUGUUAAUUUUCACAUUGUUUUACAAGUAAAAGUUUUAAAAAAAAAAGGUUAACAACAAAUUUGAAACAAUUAUAAUUGCGGAGGUAUCAAUGUAAUUUAAAGACAUCAAUAUCUAAAGAAAGAAAGAGUAAAUGGAUUUUUUUUCAAACAAUAGAUUGGUAAGAAAGGCUGAAUAGUGAAAUACAUAUCAAACUUCAGUGAGGUAAUUUCCAGUAUUUUGCGAGUAGUACCAAGGCUGUAGCCUCAAGAGAGAUUAGUCAUUUCUAGUAUUUUCAGAGUAGUACCAAGGUUGUAGCUUCAAGAGAGAUCAGUCAUUUUCCGAGUAGUACCGAGGUUGUAGCUUCAAGAGAGAUUGAUUGAGUCAUGGCAAACCCAACUGAAACACAAUCAACAGAAAACUACAAAAGUUCUGAUGAUGAAUCAGAAAGUGAAUGUAUAUCACUUUCAAACUUAGAACUGAUAGUUCAACGGAAGUUUGACAAAUUCAAAGAAGAAAUUCUCAAGGAAAACAGAAGCGCCCUUUCAGGGCUAAUUAACGACAAUGAAAAAAUAAUAACGGAAGUGGUGAACUUGAAAAACAAAAACAAAGAGUGGGAAAGAAAUCAACUAGAAUUACAAAGUGAGAUUAACACAAUAAAGACAGAAAUAGAGAAGGACAUGGACACGGAUGUUGAUGAAAACCAAAAUGAAUCUCAGAACCAGAAUGAAAUAGCCUUGUUAGGUGUUACCAUCGCAACAUACAACUUUGCUCUGAAAAAAAUCAAGAAUGACAUUGACAUGUAUAACAAAACUAAUGACCAAGCUUAGAAAAUAUUAGAAAAGAUCUAACCAUGUUGAAAUCUUCUCAAAAAGAUGAGAUUGAGAGCUGUCUGAACAAUGCAACAUUGAGCCGCUUCAAAGAUUGUAGUGCUAAAGUUGUCUCUGUCAGUUGCCUUCGAAUUAGUCGUUAUGCUUAAAUGCUUUACCGAAAUGUGUUAAAGCUACAGUACGUAGUCGGGCAUAACAAUAGAUAUGCCGGAUUCCGGUUUGACGGAAAUGAACAAUUCCGACUAUUUUCUUCAGAUCCAGGUGUGACCGGUGAUAAAAUUGUCCCUUGAUCUUUAUCUGUGCUACAUGACCUAACGCUUCACUGAUUUUUGUUUACCUUAACUGUGAUUUAAAUUAAUUGCAGACACAAAUGAUGACGGAAGAGGACACAGAUAUUAUUAUAUUUUUUUUUUUUUAAUUUGUUGAUGUAUGCGACUUUGGUAGUGAUUCAGGUGUUUGCGCAAGCUCUGUUUCUCUGCUCUUCAUUAGUUAGUAGUCUCCACUGUCUAAAACCUCUCAUGUUUCAGGGGUAUUUGAGCUACUGCCAUACGUAACUGGAUAACGCUCGCCGAUACAUGUCCAUGGACACUUGGUUGUAAAGCAGGAAGCAAAAAAUGCCCUGGAUGACCCAUUAUUUAACUGUGAUAUACCAUAUACUGAUUUUAGAUUUAAUCAAAUAAUGAUCGAAAAUAAACUGACAACGCCAUUGCUAAAAAAGAAAGAGACAAACAGACAAAUAAUAGUACACAAGAAACAACAUAAAAAACUAGACAACAAGCACCCCAACAAAAACUAGGGGUUAUCUCCAGUGCUCCGGAAGGGUAAGCAGAUCCUGCUCCACAUGUGGCACCCGUCGUGUUGCUCAUGUUAUUACAAACCCGGUAAAUAGUCUAUUUCGGUAGGUCACAUUCGUGAAAAGGGAACGGGAUUGUAGUUGCGACAUAAGGAACAUAUCCGAUAUUACCUGGGGGCAUCGGUGGCCAAGUGGUCUAAGUAGUUAGUACUGUAAUCACUAGCCAGUCAACACUGAGGUUGUGAGUUCGAACCCCGCUCGUGCGGGUGCACUCGACUCCAAUCUUAAUUGACUAGGAUUGUCAGUUUUCCUAUCGAAGGUCUGUGGUUUUCUCCGGCUUCCUCCACCAAUAAAAACUGGCCGCCACGAAAUAGACCAAAAGUGGCGUUAAAUCACCAAAAAUCAAAAAUCAAAUCCGAUAUCACCUGUGAAACGGAUAUUCCAUAACAGUAAACCAACUCGUGAUGGCGUCCGUAAAAUUAACGAAGGGAAGAUUUCAACUUCAAUAUUUGGAACUAUUGAUUUAAUAGCUUCCUUGUGAGCAGCAACCCUCUAUGAAUUGUAUCAAUUUGGAGAUAUAUACUCCGUAUCCAGGCGCUGCAUGAAUGUUGUGACAUAGAAACAGAAGGUUCACAAUUUGGAAGCUUAAUUCAUCUCUUUUUUAUGUCAAAUUCUAGAACAUUGUUUAUUUAAAAUUCAUCAAAAGAAAUAGUAAUUAAUGGCCGUAUGUACACCACAAAAUCUACCGAUGCAUCUAGGAAGUUUUAAUGCAUGAUAGGACCUAGGUUUACAAAAGGUGUAUGUAGUUUAUGUUCCUUACAUGGACUAAGCAUUAAAUGUUAUCUAACCCAAAGGGUGACUGGGGUAGAGAAGUAUGGUCACCAUUGGUCUUCCUCCGACCGGCAGUAAAACCCUUGCUAAAGUGGGGCGUCCGUUUGGCUGUGCGGGAUGUACAAAUUUGCAGCCACGUCCGGUCAGAAUAGGGACGUUAAAUCCGAUGCCUCGUGUAAAGAGAGUGCCACGCUCUUUGCACGUUAAGAACCCUUGCAACAACUCUUUGAGGGGUCCGUAUGUGACCUGUUGCAAGGCCAAAUUUCUGUCCCUAUCCAAUAUACCCUCAUUUUCCCGUGGUAGUCUGAAUUUCGCCGACCUUAACCCCGGACGCCCCUAUUACAGAACCUAUCUUUUGUAUUUAUUAUUAAUUUGUUCUCGUCCUGAAUAUGCAUGAAAUAUUUGCCAAUGGACGUUAAGCAACCAACAAUCAAUCAAUCAAAUGUUACCUAAAAAUAGCCAUCGGGGAGAAGACUGUCAGUAGUGUCAGGCGUUUGAAACUUUGGUUGCAGGGUCGUUUAAAUAGUGGCAAAGAUAUUACAAUUGCUGUGUUUGGAGUGCAGUAAAUAACAUUCUUGGUUUAACCCCUGACGGAAAUUUCCUGUAUUAAUAGCGGACAUAGAUUAUAUCGCACAUGAACGGUGGCUGCAUAUGGCUGGAGUUCCAACAGUUCCGCUAACGUUUCCGAUACCUGUACUUCGUGACAGAGAGGAAUGUCAUAGUGGAGAAGUAACCAUGAUUCAUCCAAAUUUUCGAGAAUUGGUUAUAUUCGUCGACAAGGCUGCAACGGGUUAUCCUUUCUUCCAUAGAAGACAAUGAAAUCAUAAACAAUCUGAUGUCCUUCGAAUAAAUAAUGAUUAACUUUUUGUAGAUAAAUCUGUACCACAGCGCUUUUAGCGAUCAAAAGGUUGCCUAUUGCGAAGCUAAAUGUUUUAACAUAUGCAACAUGCCUUCAUUUUGUGGCUGUCAAAAUUUUAAAUAUCCGCCUUUCUUACCGUAUUCAGCGUUGACUUGAAUUUGUUUUUAAUGUAUGCUCUCAGAAUAUGCCGUUGAUCUUGUUAUUGAAAGCAAUCAAGCCUUAUUGGCACACCUUAUGUUAUUUGGUUACGUAUAGGUACGAUGUAAUAUCACUGAUUUAUAACGAACCACGAGGCUGCAAUGGGACAUGAUCAUUUUUUUUCCAACCGUCAGUAGCACCCUCGCUAGACUGGGGCGCUGUGGUGUGUCUUACUACGCACUCCGUCCAGUAUGAAAGGGAACGUUAAAUCCGAUUUCUCAUGCACACGAAUUCUCAUCUCGUUAAGAACCUUUGCAACAACUCCUGGAGGUAUCCGUAGUUUUACAAGGCUACUUUCUGCCCAAUAUCCAACAUACCCUCAUUUCCAGUGGCUUUCUUAAUGCAAUCCUUUAUUCCUUACAGAACCUACCUAUUGUAUAAAUUUUUAAUAGCGCCUUGUUCUGAAUAUGAAUGCAAUAAUUGGCCACUGAACGUUUAGCAAGAAACAAUUGAGCAACCAACAAUUUUUCUUGUAUAUUAUAAUCGUUGUAAGAAUACACAAUACAACUCAGAAGGGACUGUUGCAAUGUAUGACCUCUAUCAUUUAUUUCUUCUUUUUAGAUGUCAGGCAAACAAAAAUCUAUAAAUCAUUCAUAUAUGUUACCUACCAUAACAUUUCAAGGGUUAUAAAAGUAAAACGUCAUUGUAAGAACCGUUUCGUCAACUCUAAUCGUUACAUCAAUUGUGUAUUAUGACACGCGAGUUUAUUUCCUAUGCUAUAUAUAAAGUCAACUUUUGCAUGUUUUACUUCCUACUAAAAUAUAAAAAAAACCCGAAAUGUUCGUAAAGCGCUUUUUCCUCAUGUAUUCUUUUGAUGAGAACAUUGUAUAUAACACUUUCUUGUUUCUAUUUAUUCAAAAACCCUCAAUAAUACUAUAUUAUUCCCAAAUCUUUUUCUUUUACAUCAUUCAUAUGAUAUUGGUCGCCGGCAUAUGUAGCAGAAAAUAAUUAAAUUAUCUAAGUCAAUAUAGUUGAUAAAUAUUGAAUCUUUUAUUAUACAAUAUAUUAAUUUGGUAUGCGUUCUCAACAUGAAUGAGAUCCAAAAAUUUAAAUGUAUACUGUAGAAGAACAUAAAAUUUGAAAGCAUUAUGUUCUUUUUUGUGACAUUGAAAAGUAUUGGUUCACGGACCUAUUCAUUCAUAUCUGCUUUCCAAUUCCGAAGUUUCCUGGUCCGUUUCUUGUCAAGUCAUUUUACAUAUAAUAAUUUUAAAAGUUUAUUGCCGAUAUUCUUUUGCGAAUUUAAACGUUACCAGUGACACACUUAAUACUACUAACAACAGGUAAUAGUAAGGAACUAGUUAAAAUCACUGAAAUAUUGUAGAAUACUUAAUACAGGCCGAUAUUAAACGAUAUUUUACUGUUUUUUUUAUGUAGUUUAGGUAACCAAUACAAAGUAGCGACCUUCAAAUGUUCAGAAGAGGCCUAAAGUUAUGAUGUAGUGUUGAUAUGUUUGUUCACUAUGUAACUCUCUUUGGAGCGCACACACUUGAAUGUAGAAGAAUUUGAAAUUUCAUUUAUAAGAAUGUCCGUGUAGUAUUAACGGCAUACCAACACCACAUUGUUGGCUGCUUUGUCGGACGGUACAAACACAAACCGCUUUGAAAAUACUUGUUUCUUAUUCUAUAAAGAGGCGUAUUAUGUACUGUUUUAGUUAUUUCUGUAUUACUUUAAAAAUGUUAUAUUCGAAUAUCCACAACACUCAUACAUUUAUUAAAAUAAGAAUCAAGAGAUUUUUAUCAGAUUUUUCUCGUUAACGCGAGAUAGCAAUACGAUAAAAGAGCGUCUUUUGUGACCCGACGACACUAAUUUCAAAUCAAUUUUAGAUGGAGGACGAUAUUUUGGUCCUUUUUUCAAAAGGUUUUUAACCUCUCGGUCUUUAACCAUAUUGAGGUCCCCGUUAUAGCAUGGCCAUAGGGAUCAUAUCUCAAAUUCGACGAUUGGCAGUCUUCUAGUUAGAAGACCCCCAAGGGUGACUGGGGAAUAGAAGUAUGGUCACCAUUGGUCUUCCUCCGACCGGCAGUAAAACCCGUGCUAAAGUGGGGCGUCCGUUUGGCUGUGCGGGAUGUACAAAUUUGCAGCCACGUCCGGUCAGAAUGGGGACGUUAAAUCCGAUGCCUCGUGUAAAGAGAGUGCCACGCUCUUUGCACGUUAAGAACCCUUGCAACAACUCUUUGAGGGGUCCGUAGGUGACCUGUUGCAAGGCUAAAUUUCUGUCCCUAUCCUAUAUACCCUCAUUUCCCGUGGCAGUCCGACCUUAAUCCCUUAAUCUAUUACAGAACCUACCUAUUGUAUUUAUUGUGAACUUGUUCUCGUCCUGAAUAUGCAUGAAAUAUUUGCCACUGGACGUUAAGCAACCAACAAUCAAUCAAUCAAUCUAGUUAGAGGAGUAUUAUUUUCUACAUUGACGUCUGAUAUAACUGACGUAAAAUUAAAAUCAAUCUUCUGCUUA